GUCAAUAUGUCCGAGCGGUUAAGGAGAAAGACUUGAAAUCUGUUGGGCUUUGCCCGCGCAGGUUCAAACCCUGCUGUUGAUC
rnacentral:tRNA from 1 species